GUACCUUCAAGCUCUGCUUGGUGAUGGGUGUUUGUCCUGUCCUUUGCGACUGGACUCGCCUUAAAAUUAUUGGCAGCCGGCAUAUUGGCCUUUGGAGCGCAGCACAUUUUGCGAUCUAAGCCUGUAUACUGGUAUCCAUGAAGCCUCAUUUAUCAC
rnacentral:misc_RNA from 1 species